GACUCAUGCCCGUUUUCACCAACAACCUCUUACCGUUUCCCUAUCUAAAAGCUACUUUUAAUAAGGACCCCUCCCAAUUUGACACCUACCUAAAUUCAUUUUCACCACACUUGUACAUGGAUCCCUUAAAUAAGUUUAUUUUGGCAGAGAAGAGAAAACGAGGAUAAACCUUUCUUGCAGAAGAAAAAGACAAGCUAGUGAAAUUGCUGACGUCUCAUAGAGACACAAUAUUAAACAAAAAAUGGAUGGGACCACGAACGAAGCCAAAAACAAAGCUUGGAUCCAGUUACAAAUAGUUUUAAUGCGAUAGGAACCGUUUAGAGGUAAAUGUGAAUAAUAUCUGUGUAUAAUAAUAUAAGAUAUUGCCGUUCAACUGUGUUCCUUGUUUUACUGUCGACUUCAUUGUAUUUUUGUUCUCCAUGAGUUGAUGGAUUUAAGUAUGGGGUUAAAAUUAUACAUUUAUUAUAUUUAUUUAGUUUCAGGUGGUGCGAGAAAUUGGAAAGACGUGUAAAAACAUGCUGCGCCCAGCCCACCUCAAAUUGAAUUGGUGCAGGAGGAUGAUGAUAAUGUUUGGUACAUCAUAUGAGGACUAAUAUUAAAAUAUUUGUUUAC